GAAUGCUGACAUAAGUAACGAUAAAGCGGGUGAAAAGCCCGCUCGCCGGAAGACCAAGGGUUCCUGUCCAACGUUAAUCGGGGCAGGGUGAGUCGACCCCUAAGGCGAGGCCGAAAGGCGUAGUCGAUGGGAAACGGGUUAAUAUUCCCGUACUUGGUGUUACUGCGAAGGGGGGACGGAGAAGGCUAUGUUGGCCGGGCGACGGUUGUCCCGGUUUAAGCGUGUAGGUGUGUGUUCCAGGUAAAUCCGGUUCACUUUAACACUGAGGCGUGACGACGAGGCACUACGGUGCUGAAGCAACAAAUGCCCUGCUUCCAGGAAAAGCCUCUAAGCAUCAGGUAACAUCAAAUCGUACCCCAAACCGACACAGGUGGUCAGGUAGAGAAUACCAAGGCGCUUGAGAGAACUCGGGUGAAGGAACUAGGCAAAAUGGUGCCGUAACUUCGGGAGAAGGCACGCUGACACGUAGGUGAAGUGAUUUACUCAUGGAGCUGAAGUCAGUCGAAGAUACCAGCUGGCUGCAACUGUUUAUUAAAAACACAGCACUGUGCAAACACGAAAGUGGACGUAUACGGUGUGACGCCUGCCCGGUGCCGGAAGGUUAAUUGAUGGGGUCAGCGCAAGCGAAGCUCCUGAUCGAAGCCCCGGUAAACGGCGGCCGUAACUAUAACGGUCCUAAGGUAGCGAAAUUCCUUGUCGGGUAAGUUCCGACCUGCACGAAUGGCGUAAUGAUGGCCAGGCUGUCUCCACCCGAGACUCAGUGAAAUUGAACUCGCUGUGAAGAUGCAGUGUACCCGCGGCAAGACGGAAAGACCCCGUGAACCUUUACUAUAGCUUGACACUGAACAUUGAGCCUUGAUGUGUAGGAUAGGUGGGAGGCUUUGAAGUGUGGACGCCAGUCUGCAUGGAGCCGACCUUGAAAUACCACCCUUUAAUGUUUGAUGUUCUAACGUGGACCCGUUACCCGGGUUGCGGACAGUGUCUGGUGGGUAGUUUGACUGGGGCGGUCUCCUCCUAAAGAGUAACGGAGGAGCACGAAGGUUGGCUAAUCCUGGUCGGACAUCAGGAGGUUAGUGCAAUGGCAUAAGCCAGCUUGACUGCGAGCGUGACGGCGCGAGCAGGUGCGAAAGCAGGUCAUAGUGAUCCGGUGGUUCUGAAUGGAAGGGCCAUCGCUCAACGGAUAAAAGGUACUCCGGGGAUAACAGGCUGAUACCGCCCAAGAGUUCAUAUCGACGGCGGUGUUUGGCACCUCGAUGUCGGCUCAUCACAUCCUGGGGCUGAAGUAGGUCCCAAGGGUAUGGCUGUUCGCCAUUUAAAGUGGUACGCGAGCUGGGUUUAGAACGUCGUGAGACAGUUCGGUCCCUAUCUGCCGUGGGCGCUGGAGAACUGAGGGGGGCUGCUCCUAGUACGAGAGGACCGGAGUGGACGCAUCACUGGUGUUCGGGUUGUCAUGCCAAUGGCACUGCCCGGUAGCUAAAUGCGGAAGAGAUAAGUGCUGAAAGCAUCUAAGCACGAAACUUGCCCCGAGAUGAGUUCUCCCUGAGACUUAAAGUCUCCUGAAGGAACGUUGAAGACGACGACGUUGAUAG
rnacentral:rRNA from 1 species